GGAAUACAUUCGGUAUUCACUUUCCAGAAGCGACGCACCAGCCUACGGUCCCAGCUCACGUCUGGGGGAGACUUUCCUAUCUCAUCACCAACUCAGGGCAGUUUCUCCAGGAACCUGGCAGGCCCCACCACAGGGAGACCCUGCUUCAAUCCGCCACACCCAGGCCUUGCCUGGUGGCCACUCUCUGCAGCCCUCCCCAGGGGUCCCUGGCCCAGCUCCAGGCCUGCUCAAUGUCCUGUUCCUAACACUGACAUCUCACAGCGACUGAGAUCCGACUACGGUCCAGGCCCCACCGGAGGUGCUUCACAGGAAUCAUUUCUGCCUCACGAUGGCCCUUUGAGGAGGAGGCUUUUAUCGUGCCCGUUGCAAAUGAGGAAACUGAGGCAUGGAGAGAGGUACUAACUCACACAAUAGCAGGAGACCCUGGAUGCAGCUGCAGGCAGUCGGCCCACAGAGCCUGCUCAUCUCAGGCCUGCCGGCUCCUCCACCUGCCUUCUGCAGUACCCUGGGAACCCCCCGAGGACAGGUGUCAUCGGUUGCCUCAUCUCACCGUCCCUGGGCCCAGCACGGAUGCAGGCACACAGUGGCUGCUCACGUAAGCUGAGUGAAAGGAGUCGUGGCUGCAGGGUGCUCUGGGCCUCCACCCUAGCUCCUGCUAUAGAAUGUCUCCAAUACAAACAUGCCU
rnacentral:lncRNA from 10 species